rnacentral:lncRNA from 1 species
CAUGUAACAGACCCAUGCAGGUCAAAAUCAACCCUGCGUCUUCACUGUGACCACCCAUCCGGCCACAUUCACAGCCUCCCUCUAGGACAACCAGGCUCAGCCUUCUGGGACUUCAGUAAGGGCGCUGAACCAGGGCUGUGAGCAUCUCAGCAGCCCCUCUGCUGAGGACAGCAGGCUCAUGUCCAGGGCUCUUCGUCACCCUCAGCACGAACCACUGGCCCGGAGUUGCACUGCCCGGCCAUGCUGACCACCGCAGGAUCUACUCCACUGAGCAGCAAUGCUAACAGACAGUUUACCACCUGGCUGGGAACCAAACUCGUGAAAACAACUUCUCCAAAGCAGAUCGUGGUGCAUUGUGACAGAGAUGGCCGCCUUGACCUCCUGAAAUUCCUCCUGAAGAUGAAGUGCCGAGCCCAGCAGUCCACAGGAGAGUUCAUAGACAGUUCCAUUACACACAGCAAGACCUCCAGAGGAUCAGAUGUUCACCCAUGGGAAGAUGUGGACCGGAUGGGCAGAUUCAGAUGCAACUCAUAUUCUCAUCGGCUUCGGACAUAUUCAUUUUAUUGGGAUCAGAGCACAACAAAUCCUGUAAAGAUAAAUAACUGA